rnacentral:tRNA from 1 species
GGUCUCAUAGCUCAGCGGGAGAGCGUCCGCCUCACACGCGGAAGGUCGCUGGUUCGAUCCCAGCUGGGACCACCG